rnacentral:rRNA from 1 species
UACGGAGGGGGCUGGCGUUGUUCGGAAUUACUGGGCGUAAAGCGCGCGUAGGCGGACCUGCAAGUCGGGGGUGAAAGCCCGAGGCUCAACCUCGGAACUGCCUUCGAUACUGCGGGUCUCGAGUCCGGGAGAGGUGAGUGGAAUUCCUAGUGUAGAGGUGAAAUUCGUAGAUAUUAGGAAGAACACCAGUGGCGAAGGCGGCUCACUGGCCCGGUACUGACGCUGAGGCGCGAAAGCGGGGGGAGCAAACAGG